rnacentral:rRNA from 1 species
UACGUAGGUAGCAAGCGUUGUCCGGAAUUAUUUGGGCGUAAAGCGCGCGCAGGCGGUCCUUUAAGUCUGAUGUGAAAGCCCACGGCUCAACCGUGGAGGGUCAUUGGAAACUGGGGGGACUUAGUGCAGGAGAGAAGAGUGGAAUUCCACGUGUAGCGGUGAAAUGCGUAGAGAUGUGGAGGAACACCAGUGGCGAAGGCGACUCUUUGGCCUGUAACUGACGCUGAGGCGCGAAAGCGUGGGGAGCAAACAGG